AUUGAACGCUGGCGGCAUGCCUUACACAUGCAAGUCGAACGGCAGCGCGGGAGCAAUCCUGGCGGCGAGUGGCGAACGGGUGAGUAAUAUAUCGGAACGUGCCCAGUAGUGGGGGAUAGCCCGGCGAAAGCCGGAUUAAUACCGCAUGAGACCUGAGGGUGAAAGCGGGGGAUCGCAAGACCUCGCGCUACUGGAGCGGCCGAUAUCAGAUUAGCUAGUUGGUGGGGUAAAGGCCUACCAAGGCAACGAUCUGUAGUUGGUCUGAGAGGACGACCAGCCACACUGGGACUGAGACACGGCCCAGACUCCUACGGGAGGCAGCAGUGGGGAAUUUUGGACAAUGGGCGCAAGCCUGAUCCAGCAAUGCCGCGUGCAGGAAGAAGGCCUUCGGGUUGUAAACUAGCUUUGUUCUAGGGAAGGAAAUACCCUUGGG
rnacentral:rRNA from 1 species